rnacentral:rRNA from 1 species
UACAGAGGUCUCGAGCGUUAGGCGGAAUCACUGGGCUUAAAGCGUGUGUAGGUGGAUGCCUAAGUACCUUGUGAAAUCCCACGGCUUAACCGUGGAACUGCUUGGUAUACUGGGUGUCUUGAGUCACUCAGGGGCGAGCGGAACAAAUGGUGGAGCGGUGAAAUGCGUAGAUAUCAUUUGGAACGCCAAUGGUGAAAACAGCUCGCUGGGGGUGCACUGACACUGAGACGCGAAAGCCAGGGGAGCGAACGGG